rnacentral:rRNA from 1 species
UAGCAUAUCAAUAAGCGGAGGAAAAGAAACCAACCGGGAUUGCCCUAGUAACGGCGAGUGAAGCGGCAAGAGCUCAAAUUUGAAAGCUGGCUCCUUCGGGGUCCGCAUUGUAAUUUGCAGAGGAUGCUUCGGGAGCGGUCCCCAUCUAAGUGCCCUGGAACGGGCCGUCAUAGAGGGUGAGAAUCCCGUAUGGGAUGGGGUGCCCGCGCCCGUGUGAAGCUCCUUCGACGAGUCGAGUUGUUUGGGAAUGCAGCUCUAAUUGGGUGGUAAAUUUCAUCUAAAGCUAAAUAUUGGCCGGAGACCGAUAGCGCACAAGUAGAGUGAUCGAAAGAUGAAAAGCACUUUGAAAAGAGAGUUAAACAGCACGUGAAAUUGUUGAAAGGGAAGCGCUUGCGAUCAGACUCGCUCGCGGGGUUCAGCCGGCCUUCGGGCCGGUGUACUUCCCCGCGGGCGGGCCAGCGUCGGUUUGGGCGGCCGGUCAAAGGCCCCUGGAAUGUAACGCCUCUCGGGGCGUCUUAUAGCCAGGGGUGCCAUGCGGCCUGCCCGGACCGAGGAACGCGCUUCGGCUCGGACGCUGGCAUAAUGGUCGUAAGCGACCCGUCUUGAAACACGGACCAAGGAGUCUAACAUCUACGCGAGUGUUCGGGUGUCAAACCCGUGCGCGCAGUGAAAGCGAACGGAGGUGGGAACCCCUCGGGGUGCACCAUCGACCGAUCCUGAUGUCUUCGGAUGGAUUUGAGUAAGAGCGUAGCUGUUGGGACCCGAAAGAUGGUGAACUAUGCCUGAAUAGGGCGAAGCCAGAGGAAACUCUGGUGGAGGCUCGCAGCGGUUCUGACGUGCAAAUCGAUCGUCAAAUUUGGGUAUAGGGGCGAAAGACUAAUCGAACCAUCUAGUAGCUGGUCUGCA